rnacentral:lncRNA from 1 species
AUACUAUUAAUUUUUGUAACUGUAGUAGCAAUACUCUGUCGAGUGUUGGCCGUAUUAACUUUUAAGCCGUAAUAAACGACACGGGGACAAUUUGAUAUCCCAAAAACACUUGUAGUUUUUAUGCCAUCAAACUGAAGAAUAAUAAAUACAAAAUAAUGCGUAAGAGAUAAAAAUAAUCGGGAUUUAGUUAGGCGUUGGAAUAAAAUGAAAAGGUUAAUUUGCCAACGAUGUUGUUGAGAAAAAUUGACAAUCGGCACAGCACUUCUGGAGAUGUAACUUUGUCCGGCAACAAUCGAUAAAUAAGAUUCCUCCUCCGGUCACCAUCUGCAUUUCCCCCAUCCGUCGAGAAGGACUGCAAGCUGAAUACGGAAAGAGUCAGAGGAUGUGACUCUAGGGAACAUGACACGUGAUCAGCCAGUAUGUUUCCGGGAACCUUAUCGGAUGGGAACAUUUUUAAAAGUUUAAGUUUCAUACAUACGUGAUCGGCAGUCGGAUGGAAGACGGUGAGUCAUCGAACGUGAGAGAAGAAAAGUUCUUAUUGGAUAGGAGGUCUUAAGUAGCCGGUGUAACUCACAGUCAUUACUCGAGAUAAUCUCGUUAGUCCGAUGCCUCCUGCCAGCAAUUAAUGACUUCGGAAAUCCGGUGUUGGCCAUCGUUCAAUGACUCGCUAUCUGCAUCGAUACGGAAUGGUGGAAUUUUUAAGGAUUGGGGAAUUAGGAAAGUUAAAUGAAGGUGAGCAAUCUUUAUCUGGAGUAAAUUGUUUUGGACACCGGAUCGGUCGAUGAAUGAGACUUCCGAAGUCGGUCUCAUUACACACUGAUCGAUUAGUUUAGAUAGUGAGAAGUGUUAGUGAUGUCCAGAAAUAAAUCGACUGGACACAUUAUCUUCGGAAAGUUCUUUGAUUGCGUGGCACUCUUCGGUUACAUCCGAUGGGAAAUGUUGGAGACGUCACCUGUACGCAAUGACGCAGUUCUGAGAAAAUGUCUGUUGUUUUAUGUCUUGUUGCAGGUAUUUCUAAUUACAUGGAUGACUUUUUUAAGUGCUUUUUCGACGUUACCUUUAAAUAUUAGAAGAAGAAUGCAAUUCAACAAUUACUGUUAUUCUCUUAUAUGCCCUUCAUUAGUUCGGUAUGUCUUUCGUAUACCUUGGAUCGAUCGCUUUCUAGCACUGGCUUUACGACAAUGGAAAUGGCGUGUUUUAUGGUAAGAUUCUACCUUACCUAUCUAGGGAUAGAUAAACGACACCUUGACGUCGUCUUGUAUCCGCUUCUUGUAGCCUAUCUCUUUAUGUAUCACCACCUCUUUUAUCGCCACUAUACAAUCUGCUUUCUGUUUUUAAUCGAAAAAACUGC